rnacentral:rRNA from 1 species
AUGUUCAUGCAUACAACGUUAAUGCACCGGAUCCCAUUGUAAAUCCUCUAUUAAGCACAGUUGGGCUAGAGUAGUACUGGGAUGGGUGACCUCCAGGGAAAUCCUAGUGUUUUAUACGCC